GAUGAACGCUGGCGGCGUGCCUAAUACAUGCAAGUCGAGCGAACGGACGAGAAGCUUGCUUCUCUGAUGUUAGCGGCGGACGGGUGAGUAACACGUGGAUAACCUACCUAUAAGACUGGGAUAACUUCGGGAAACCGGAGCUAAUACCGGAUAAUAUUUUGAACCGCAUGGUUCAAAAGUGAAAGACGGUCCUGCUGUCACUUAUAGAUGGAUCCGCGCUGCAUUAGCUAGUUGGUAAGGUAACGGCUUACCAAGGCAACGAUGCAUAGCCGACCUGAGAGGGUGAUCGGCCACACUGGAACUGAGACACGGUCCAGACUCCUACGGGAGGCAGCAGUAGGGAAUCUUCCGCAAUGGGCGAAAGCCUGACGGAGCAACGCCGCGUGAGUGAUGAAGGUCUUCGGAUCGUAAAACUCUGUUAUUAGGGAAGAACAUAUGUGUAAGUAACUGUGCGCAUCUUGACGGUACCUAAUCAGAAAGCCACGGCUAACUACGUG
rnacentral:rRNA from 1 species